rnacentral:lncRNA from 1 species
GAACGAAGGAAAAUAAAAUCUAGAUGGAGACAUUAAUACCAUGUAAAAAGAGAUACUAAUAAUACUAAAAAAUAGCUACAAAUAUGUUAAAGAAAUUAAUGAAAAAAAAGAUCCAUCUGGUAACAAAACUUAGUGGUGGAAUAAAAAAGUUCAAUUGGUGGUUAAAGAAAAAGAGAAUGCUAUAGAAGUCUAUUAAUAUGUAGAAAUAGAGAAGUAUAUAAAAGCUAG